rnacentral:rRNA from 1 species
GACGAACGCUGGCGGCGUGCUUAACACAUGCAAGUCGAACGGAAAGGCCCUGCUUGCAGGGUACUCGAGUGGCGAACGGGUGAGUAACACGUGGGUGAUCUGCCCUGCACUUCGGGAUAAGCCUGGGAAACUGGGUCUAAUACCGGAUAGGAGCCAUUUUUAGUGUGAUGGUUGGAAAGUUUUUUCGGUGUAGGAUGAGCUCGCGGCCUAUCAGCUUGUUGGUGGGGUAAUGGCCUACCAAGGCGGCGACGGGUAGCCGGCCUGAGAGGGUGGACGGCCACAUUGGGACGGAGAUACGGCCCAGACUCCUACGGGAGGCAGCAGUGGGGAAUAUUGCACAAGGGGCGCAAGCCUGAUGCAGCGACGCCGCGUGGGGGAUGACGGCCUUAGGGUUGUAAACUCCUUUCGCUAGGGACGAAGCUCUUUGUGACGGUACCUAGAUAAGAAGCACCGGCUAACUACGUG